rnacentral:rRNA from 1 species
GCCUACGGGUGGCAGCAGGGGGGAAUAUUGGACAAUGGGGUAAACCCUGAUCCAGCAACGCCGCGUGGGCGAAGAAGGCCUUCGGGUUGUAAAGCCCUUUUCUGAGGGAAGAGGAAGGACGGUACCUCAGGAAUAAGUCUCGGCUAACUACGUGCCAGCAGCCGCGGUAAAACGUAGGAGGCGAGCGUUAUCCGGAUUUACUGGGCGUAAAGGGCAAGUAGGCGGUGGCCAAAGUUGGGCGUGACAUCUCCCGGCUCAACUGGGAGGGGUCGUCCAAAACUAGGUCACUAGAGGGCAGGAGAGGGAAGCGGAAUUCCUAGUGUAGCGGUGGAAUGCUCAGAUAUUAGGAAGAACACCAGUGGCGAAGGCGGCUUCCUGGCCUGUACCUGACGCUGAGAGGCGAAAGCUAGGGGAGCGAACGGGCUUAGAUACCCGGGUAGUCAGA